GAUGAACGCUGGCGGCGUGCCUAAUACAUGCAAGUCGAGCGAACGGACGAGAAGCUUGCUUCUCUGAUGUUAGCGGCGGACGGGUGAGUAACACGUGGAUAACCUACCUAUAAGACUUGGAUAACUUCGGGAAACCGGCGCUAAUACCGGAUAAUAUUUUGAACCGCAUGGUUCAAAAGUGAAAGAUGGUCUUGCUGUCACUUAUAGAUGGAUCCGCGCUGCAUUAGCUAGUUGGUAAGGUAACGGCUUACCAAGGCAACGAUGCAUAGCCGACCUGAGAGAGUGAUCGGCCACACGGUAAUUGAGACACUGUCCAGACUCCUAAGGUAGGCCGCAGUAGGGAAUCUUCCAAAAUGGACGAGAGCGUGACGGGGCAACGCCGCGUGAGUGAUGAAGGUCUUCGGAUCGUAAAACUCUGUUAUUAGGGAAGAACAUAUGUGUAAGUGACUGUGCACAUCUUGACGGUACCUAAUCAGAAAGCCACAGCUAACUCCGUG
rnacentral:rRNA from 1 species